GCUCCAUUGAUGCUGGCGCUUUCAAUGAAAACAUAAAAAUAAAAAUGCAAAUUAAGCCUGGCAAACGAAAGCACUUAAAUCUAACGCACAAUUGCCCAGGGAACAGGCCAAAGGAUAACCGUGGCACAAAGGGGUUUGCAUACAAGAUGAAAUGGCUUUGGGUUACUCCAAUUCCGGUGUUUAUUGCCCAAACGGCACAUCAUUGAAAUCAACAAACACAAUCCCAGUCUCUAUGAAAAUUGUAUACUAGGUUUAUUGGAUACUAAAGUGGCUUGCUUGCAAGUUUGGGUUUAUUUAAAGUAUUCAUAACAUAAACUUUGCAACUUUUCUACAUUAUCGAAAAGUGAAUGGUAUUUAUUGCCUGACAUAAAUAAUUAUAACAAAUAAAGAACUGUUCAUUGUGACAUCUCUUCGUUUCAAGUAAGACAUCUUCGUGAACCACUGUCCUCGAUUUUGUAGGAGGAAUCACACAAUCAGAACCACAGGACAGCGGCCACAUUGUGAGCAGGAAACGUUGGGGAAAAUGUUAUGGGUUGGCUGGCUAAGCAAAAUGGGGCGGCUUGCCACGAGGAAACAAAAGCAGAAAGCUGAGGCAGAAGUCAGUUGACACGAAGCGGCAACAAGCGAACAACCAACAAGCGACUACCAACUACCAACAACCAACUGGCAACAACGCAGGGCAACAAAAGCGGCAGAAGCGACAACACUGCGUAGACAUUUGCCAGCUAAACUCGGAGUCGGAUUUGGCCAUUUGGUCGUCUUCACAAUUGUCGUCGCAUCCGGGCCAGGCCACAAUAUGGAGUUUUAAAGCGUUUAUAUCCGCAAAGCGAGGCUUUCUGGCCGGCUUUCUGUUUUUGGGCAAAUCACAGUUUUGUGCCUUUUCUCUGGUGCGGGUUGCGGUUACACGGAUUCACGCGCAAAGAAAGCGGCCAGCAGGAAGUUGGCAGUCGUCUCCAAUCGUCGUGAGUCUGCCACAAUCGAGUGGCGGGUUCAAAUUCAUUAGUUCAUUUGGACCCGAGAACGGGAAACGGGGUCUCCAGUCAGUUAUGAUGGGAAUUAGCAUCUAUUUAAAUGUCUGGGCCGCAUUAGGAUGCCACGAUUGGCCGGGAGUACGAGGAACGAGCUUAUUGUUUUCGGUUACCAAUUAUUUGGCCAAAUUGCGAGGGGUAACCUGCUACUAGUUCACUUAGCCAAAUUAAAUGUAGAUUGCUGUGGAGCAUUGUACAUGAAAUGAAAACCAAACUUAGCAACUUAAUCUAGGAGCUGUACGAAUAUGAUUAGUAAAAAGGUUAGCAUUUCUUGUGACAUAUAUGUAUAUAAAUCAGCUCGCUCCAAUUUCUCGCAGUGCAGCGUCCAAAACGAUUGUCCUCAGGCCUAAUUAUGCGUGCGCCGACAGGCGAACAAGAGGCAACAGGACAACAGGACAGCAGGCCGCAGAUGAAACGCCACCGAUUAGCCUGUGCCGCUCCCUCCGGCCACUCCUCCCGGUCCGCAUGGCCAGGCACUGGGAGGGGAUCCCCUGGCCGCUUCUGCAAUUUAUGAUGGGCACUAACAACCGCAAACUAGCCAAACAAAUGAAACGGAGUCGGACACAGACCGGCGGCGAACAAACAGUUGAAUGGAAAUUGCAAUUAUACGAAUACAAGAUCUCAACUCGGCGUAUGUAAAGUGCCUCCGAUUGGAAAGAUGGAGGAGGGGUUCGCUGAUGUGGGUGCCCAACCAACUGAGUUCGAUGUUUGGCUAGAUUUAGCCAAGCCAAGCGAAGUCGAAGAAGGUCCCUAACUGAGAAAACAAUCUGGAGCCCCUGACAGCGAUUAAAUGCUGGGAAGCCCAUUGAAUGCGUGCCAUGGUCGCUAUAGUUGUUAUAGUUUCAUUACGUAGUAAUAAAUCAAUUUUUAAAUGGUUGUUUUGUCAUUUAAGAAACUCAUUUUAAUUGGAUAGAGCGUCAAGAAUUGUGAAAGACGAAAAUGGAAUUAGUAUUGUGAAGAUAGAAACUGUAUUUUAAGUGAGAAAUAAAUAUAAUCGCACAUUUGGAAAUAGCUUUCCAACUUGUAAGACCUAAGUUUAUAUAACGAACGAGAUAUGUGUCAUAUUCAAGUGCAAAUAUAAGAACCCAAUCUGACAAAAUUACCAAAAUCGACCACAGCCAUUACAGCCGACUGCAAGACUAAUUGACAAAUCAGUUCCAGGGGCUUUCAUCAUUAGUCAAAGACCAAGCCGAGAACUGUUUGGAAAUCAUUAAAUUGUGUCAUUUUACAAAAAUGAUCAAACACAAAGCCAAGACCAUAGAUAGGAACGGAGCGUGCCCACGCCCACAAGCGGAAUACGAAAUAUUCGAUCGCUGAUUUCAUAUUUUUUGCUCGAGAACUGGUUACACCCAACAACGAAGUACCCGCCGCAGAUAUCCGAGUAUAUGCUGAAUAAAUUCCAGCAAAUACAUGCAGAGAUACGUCAUUUUGUAGCAGGUUGGUGUAAAUUGAAUUUUCAUGCCCGCUGCGACCGGGGACCACUCAUUUGUUUGCCCAUCUGUCCCCACGCAGCCAAUGUACAUAGGCCCGGCCCAAAAUGGACUUGGCGAGCAAGUCGCAAGCGGGUCUAUAAAAUCUAAUACGCACACGAGCAGCCACAAGUCCCGCCCACAGAUCGGCGCUACAUGGAGGACUAUGUGGAAUAUGGAAUAUGGGUGCCUGUGCCUAAUAGGCAGCGAGAGAGCGCCGGCUUAAGAGAGCCCCGAAGAGAGCGGCUCGAAGGUGCAAGCGGAUCGGCCGUAUAGCGCCUCCCUAUCGCACCCAUCCCCAUCGCCUUCAGUGCGGAUCGUGCUCUUAAGCCCCUCCAAACGGGUUUCUCCUCGGGUUUCUCCGGCUCGGGACUCAAGAGUUGCGACCGCUGGGGUUACGUUUUCAGUCUGUGAGCAACUGCGUGACCCGCACGACGAACGAGGAGCGAUCCUCGGCUUCUUGCUUCAGUAAUUGAAAGACGUGAACAGUGUGAUCAAUCAGUGAUGACUGGAAAGUGUGUGAAGAAAAUUGUACGGACACAUCGCAAGAUGGUGACUUGAAUACUUGAGACUUGAUCGGGGUGAUCGCGGAUGCUGGGAAGGCGAUGAGGAAGAUCUGGACAAGACCGGCUGGCACCUAGUCAUGGAUUGCGAAGGCGGCGGCGGAGGAGCAGCAGCAGGAGCAGCGGCAUCAGGAGUUGGAGGUUGUCGAUGGCCAAGUGGCCAAGUACCAAGUACCCAGCGACUUGGAUCGCCAGAAGUUGCCGACUCACAAUGUGUGUGCGCAAAGGCUUUAAGAAAUGCCGAAUUCCAGAAGCUGCAGUACAAUCAGUUGAAUUAAAAAACGAGCGCACAGACAGAGGACGACGUCUGGAUGGGAUUCGGAUUGGGGACUGGGGAUGUGGCUGUGGAUUGGGAUUGGGAUGGGGAGACGGGGUCCCUCCAGUGGAUCGCCGGCGAUAUCAUCGCGUGGUGAGCGCGGGCUAGGAAAUUAAGAGGACAUUGUGGCGGCAUGCGGUUAGAACUCGCAGCGGCGGCUUAAACACAAAAUCCGCGGAGGAGAUUCCUUGCGUGGCUGCGUUGUUGGUGGCUUUCGGACAGCUGGACGCUGCCUGACAGAGGUCGCCCUCGUACGUAAUCGACGAGCAUUGCAAAUGCUUGUGUCCUCCGCCUGCGUCUUGUGCUGCGCACGUGGCCAUGUUGCAGGCGCAGCAGCAGCAGCAGCCGCAACAACAGCAGCAGCAACAGCAACUGCGGCCAGAGCCAAGCAGCAAAUCAUUGAAAUGUCGUUAGAGGCUCGAGCGGCACGCAGCGUCGAUAGUCAGCGAAACCGCAAAAUGCUUUUAAUUUCUCAAACUGAUAUGCACCCGUGCUCCCACCGCCGCGGAGGAAGCCGGGGCCAGAGGUUUGGUCUUUGUUUCUGCCUCGGGUUUUCUAUUCCAGCUAAUUCGGU
rnacentral:sRNA from 1 species